rnacentral:rRNA from 1 species
AACGCGAAGAACCUUACCAGGCCUUGACAUCCCGUGCUAAGCCCAGAGAUGGGUGGUCCCCGCAAGGGGCGCGGAGACAGGUGCUGCAUGGCUGUCGUCAGCUCGUGUCGUGAGAUGUUGGGUUAAGUCCCGCAACGAGCGCAACCCUCGCCUUUAGUUGCCAUCAUUCAGUUGGGCACUCUAAAGGGACCGCCGGCGACAAGCCGGAGGAAGGUGGGGAUGACGUCAAGUCCUCAUGGCCCUUACGGCCUGGGCUACACACGUGCUACAAUGGCGGUGACAGCGGGAUGCCAGGUCGCAAGGCCGAGCCGAUCCCAAAAAGCCGUCUCAGUUCAGAUUGCACUCUGCAACUCGGGUGCAUGAAGGUGGAAUCGCUAGUAAUCGCGGAUCAGCAUGCAGCGGUGAAUACGUUCCCGGGCCUUGUACACACCGCUCGUC